rnacentral:misc_RNA from 1 species
GAAAUGCGAUAAGUAAUGUGAAUUGCAGAAUUCAGUGAAUCAUCGAAUCUUUGAACGCACAUUGCGCCCGCCAGUAUUCUGGCGGGCAUGCCUGUUCGAGCGUCAUUACGACCCUCAGGCCCCCGGGCCUGGCGUUGGGGAUCGGCGGAAGCCCCCUGCGGGCACAACGCCGUCCCCCAAAUACAGUGGCGGUCCCGCCGCAGCUUCCAUUGCGUAGUAGCUAACACCUCGCAACUGGAGAGCGGCGCGGCCACGCCGUAAAACACCCAACUUCUGAAUGUUGACCUCGAAUCAGGUAGGAAUACCCGCUGAACUUAAGC